rnacentral:rRNA from 1 species
UACGGAGGGAGCUAGCGUUGUUCGGAAUUACUGGGCGUAAAGCGCGCGUAGGCGGUUUUUUAAGUCAGAGGUGAAAGCCCAGUGCUCAACACUGGAACUGCCUUUGAAACUGGAAAACUUGAAUCUUGGAGAGGUCAGUGGAAUUCCGAGUGUAGAGGUGAAAUUCGUAGAUAUUCGGAAGAACACCAGUGGCGAAGGCGACUGACUGGACAAGUAUUGACGCUGAGGUGCGAAAGCAUGGGGAGCGAACAGG